rnacentral:rRNA from 1 species
AUUGAACGCUGGCGGCAUGCCUUACACAUGCAAGUCGAACGGCAGCAUGAUCUUGCUUGCUAGAUUGAUGGCGAGUGGCGAACGGGUGAGUAAUACAUCGGAACGUGCCCUGUAGUGGGGGAUAACUAGUCGAAAGAUUAGCUAAUACCGCAUACGACCUGAGGGUGAAAGUGGGGGACCGCAAGGCCUCAUGCUAUAGGAGCGGCCGAUGUCUGAUUAGCUAGUUGGUGAGGUAAAGGCUCACCAAGGCGACGAUCAGUAGCUGGUCUGAGAGGACGAUCAGCCACACUGGGACUGCGACACGGCCCAGACUCCUACGGGAGGCAGCAGUGGGGAAUUUUGGACACUGGGCGAAAGCCUGAUCCAGCAGUGCCGCGUGUGUGAAGAAGGCCUUCGGGUUGUAAAGCACUUUUGUCCGGAAAGAAAUGGCUCUGGUUAAUACCUGGGGUCGAUGACGGUACCGGAAGACUAAGGACCGGCUAACUACGUG